rnacentral:rRNA from 1 species
GACAGAGGGUGCAAACGUUGUUCGGAAUUACUGGGCGUAAAGCGCGUGUAGGCGGCUCUGUAAGUCGGGUGUGAAAUCCCACGGCUCAACCGUGGAAGUGCACUCGAAACUACAGGGCUAGAGUCCUGGAGAGGUCGGUGGAAUUGCCGGUGUAGUGGUGAAAUGCGUAGAGAUCGGCAGGAACACCCAGGGGGAAACCAGCCGACUGGGCAAGUGCUGACGCUGAGGUGCGAGAGCGUGGGGAGCGAACCGG